rnacentral:rRNA from 1 species
GAACAACUCUCAGCAACGGAUAUCUUGGCUCCUGCAACGAUGAAGAACGCAGCGAAAUGCGAUACGUUAUGUGAAUUGCAGAAUUCCGCGAAUCAUCGAGUUUUUGAACGCAACUUGCGCCCGAGGCUUGUCCGAGGGCAUUUCCGCUAGAGCGUCACC